AUUAGUAAUGCACAAGGUUGUUUGUAAUAAUUUAUUCUCAUGUUAAGUACCUUUUCAUACUAAAAUUACCACUUAUAAUUGUAAUUAUGAUUGGGAAAAACAUGUUAUAUGCCUUUUUAUGUUUACCCAAUAGAGGGGAAAAUACUGUGGUUAUUGCAAACGUUCAAUAUAAUUCGCCUACAAAAGAGGAUUUUUUUUUUCCUUUACCCAGUGAAAGUGUUGAAGGUAAACCUCAUAUGGCAUAAGUGAUGUCCUUUUGGGUACUCUGUAAACUGCUCAAUUCCACAAGGGUUUGUUGAGUACACAAAAUAGAGUAUCUUAUAAACAGGCAUGUGACACAUACUGCGUCGGUAACCUGCACAAACUCUCUCCUAUUAAUCGCUAGUAUAAGUAGUCCAGAGUAG